rnacentral:rRNA from 1 species
AACGAACGUUGGCGGCGUGGAUUAGGCAUGCAAGUCGAGGGAAUCCCAGCAAUGGGGGAACCGGUGUAAGGGGCAGUAAGGCGUGGGUACCUACCCUGGGGUUCGGGAUAGCCAUCCGAGAGGGCGGGUAAUACCGGAUGAUCUCGGGAGAGCAAAGAUUUAUCGCCCUGGGAGGGGCCCACGUGAUAUUAGCUAGUUGGCGGGGUAACGGCCCACCAAGGCGGAGAUGUCUAGCGGGUGUGAGAGCACGACCCGCGCCACUGGCACUGAGACACUGGCCAGACACCUACGGGUGGCUGCAGUCGAGGAUCUUCGGCAAGGGGCGCAAGCACGACCGAGCGACGCCGCGUGGGCGACGAAGGCCUUCGGGUUGUAAAGCCCUGUCGAGGGGGAGAAAGGGGCAACCUUGAUCUAUCCCUGGAGGAAGCACGGGCUAAGUUCGUGCCAGCAGCCGCCGUAACAC